rnacentral:rRNA from 1 species
UACGUAGGGAGCUAGCGUUGUCCGGAAUCAUUGGGCGUAAAGCGCGCGUAGGCGGCCAGAUAAGUCCGGUGUAAAAGCCACGGGCUCAACCUGUGAACGCCGCUGGAAACUGUCUGGCUAGAGUCCGGGAGGGGCGAGUGGAAUUCCUGGUGUAGCGGUGAAAUGCGCAGAUAUCAGGAGGAACACCAAUGGCGAAGGCAGCUCGCUGGAACGGUACUGACGCUGAGGCGCGAAAGCGUGGGGAGCGAACAGG